AAUUAACCCCAGCCUCUCCAGUCUUCUGUUCUCCUCGCGAACUCUCCUCUUCUCAAAUCGAACCGACAAAACCACAACUCUCUUUCUACUUUUUUCAAUCAAUCACCAUGGGUAUUGGAGGGAUGAUGUUGAGCUCGUCGCUGAUAACGAUCCAUUCAUCACCACCGAUUACAUGGUGACUGACAUACAUGUUCUAGUAUUGCUCCUUGCGUGUCAAUGGCUUGCCGUUGAAGAUGAAUUGAGAAAUAUAUCUUCCACUACUUCAGCGACCACACAAAGUGUGGCAUGCUAGUGGAGAGGUCAGCAUAAACAUGAAUGCUUGAUGCAAGAGAUGCUAAACUGGCAACUGCCAAGGAGGAGAUCUGAUCCAUGCCUUUACUGACUUGCCAAGAGAUCUCAAUUUCAUUCAGCAUUCCAGUCACUUGAGUUGGAAACUGAUAUUGCUUGAUGUUUUCAUAUUUUGGACACUACAUCUGGAGACUUCCGCAAGUUGGCACAGCUGAACAAUACUUUCAACCAGUACAAUGAGUUUGGAAAUGCCAUUACCAAGGAGCUGUGGGAGAGUCUGGAUAGAUUACAAGCACCAAGCCGGCAGGCAGGACAAAAGGAGGGAUUGACUCUUUUAUUUUUGUUUUUUGGGUCUUUCAAUUGUUAAUGGUUUGUUAUUUUAUUGUUCUUAUUUUUUCUAUAUCGAAAAGGCUCCAAUGGCCUUUCCUAA